rnacentral:lncRNA from 1 species
AAAAAAAAAACUACAAAAAAGCUGAUUCCCAACUGAGCCUUAACUUUGUUUUCUUUAGGCUCUCCGUUUGGUAAUGCUUAAAAAUCAAGAUUUUUUUAAAUUUGUUACUAAAACGUCAGAUUUUUACAUUUUUUUACUUUUUGGAACUUUACUUUACUUUAUCUAAAACUUAGUAAAACAACAAAAAUAGAAAAGUAAAAAAGCCAACUUUGAUUGAUUUUUUUUGCUUAUUUUAAGUCAAAAAAUUAAUAAAAAAGCUAAAAAAAAUUGUACCAAACGGAGCCUUAGUGUUAUUUUUGCAUAAUUACUCAAUUUUGUUCAAUUAAAACAAAAGUAUAGAAUAUCAAAACUAUGAGGAAUAUGGGAAGAGAAAUUGAAAAUAAAUAUAUACGGUGUGAUUGUUCAGUGAUUGACGAUAUUUGUAAGUUACCUGACCGAGCUGCAAUUCAUAAAUAAUGAAAACAGUCGCCGAAACUGUUCCGGAAUUUGCUUUCCGACGGUCAAGUAUGUGACUAGAAGUGUAUAAGAGAAAGAGAGAGAGUUUUAGUCUUGAGAUAGCAAAAAUUGCAUACCUCGACAGAAAAAAAGAGUAAAACCUUUUUAUAACACCGUUCGACAACACACGUGUCAUUACUGUUAGACUGCAACUCGUCCUCACGGACUGCUAUUCAGGAGUAGGUGCUAAUCCCAUCAUACUGUUAGAUUAUCUUUAGAUUAGAUUUAUGUUUAUUUACUUUGUUAUUAGAAGUAAGGUAGAAUAGCAUUUAUUCCCUUUUGUUAUUAGGGUUCUUUAAUCUCUUUAUUUUUCUUGUAUCAUCAAUUCUAAAAUUCUAUGAACCCUAGCCUCCUUUUUCUCUAUGUUCUUGGGAUUCUCACAUGGUAUCCAGAGCAUUGAUCCUGAUGGGCCUCCGCAUCCUAUGAUUGCAUGAAAGGAAGUUUAUCUCAUUCCAGCUUUUAGCCUCUUUUUUUUUUCCGGGUGCCAUUGUUUUUUUUAAGAUCGUAGUUAUCAGUUAUCAGUUUUUUCGCAUCUUUUUUUUCAGAUCGAAUAUUCUCUAGUUGUUGGGAAUUCUAGUAUUAUUAUUUUACGCACUGGAUGUUGAACGGGAGGAUUCUUAUGUUAUCAGCACGAGAUUGGAAUGGGAAGAAUUAUUCGUCUUUCAAUCCCCCACCGCUUCCUUCGCUGAGCAGUUCCAGCAGUUCUUGGUCUUGCACACCAACCAUCUGCUAUAUCUGCCUCAUCCUCUUUCGGUUUGUCUUCUCCAAUUCCUCCUGUAUGGUUUCGUCUUUGUGGUUUUUGACUCUGGCACUCCAUCACAUGUCACCAGACUCUGUCUGUUUUUAUUUCAUUGCUCCUGCAUCAACCUUAUCUGUCAUGAAACUGCUUAUGGAACCACCCCUAUGCAUUAGCGGGUGUUGGGAUCUGUAAUUGUCAACUAAUAUAUUUCUUUCUAACGUGUAUCACAUUCCUAGUCUUUCCUUAAAUCUUGUUUCUGUUAGUCCCAUUGUGUACUCUGGUUAUUUGAUUUUUUUUUCUUUCCACUUCUUGUGCAAGUGCGGACUCGCAAACCCCGAAGCUUAUUGGGACAUGCCAUAAGCAAGGGGGAUUAUAUAUCUUGGACCAACUGAGUGUACCUGCAGUUGCUGCUACUGGUGUCGAUUUGAUAUCUUUUCGUUUUAGUCCUUCUUUUUCUUCUAGUUUUUAAUUUAUGGCAUUCUCGUCUAGGUCAUGUCUCGUCUUUCUCGUUUAAAGUAUUUACCUCUAAACCGGAGCCUUAGGUUCAGCACAUGUAUAUUUCUACUUGCAGUGGUUGUAAACUAUCAAAAUUUCCUCUUUCUUCUGCCCUACCGUUUUAAUAGAAGUAUCUUUUAUUCUCUGCAAACCUUUUGAUUUAGUUCAUUCUGAUGUGUGGGGACGUUGUCCUAUUGCUACGCAAAGGCGGUCCCAUUAUUAUGUUUUCUUUUAUUGAGAUUACACUCGUUAUUGUUGGUUUAGCUUAUGAAAUCGUUCUGAAUUUUUGGGUAUUUAUAAAUCCUUUCGUGCUCUCGGUGAAAACACAACAUUCUGUUUUUAUCAAAUGUUUUCGGUGUGAUUUUGGUGUGAAUUAUACUUCUAAUGAAUUUUCUGAGUUUGCUUGUGUUAGAUGGAACUAUUCAUCAAUCCUCUUGUACUGAUACUCCAGACAAAUGGUGUUGCGAAAGGAAACAUCGUCAUAUUGGUUUUGAAACUAUGCCCUGCCCGAUCUCUACUUACUGUCUGCUUUGGUUCCUAGUACUUUCUUCUUCUGGGGUGAGGCAGUUCUCAACUGCUACCACAGACCGGUCAUUAUAUGAUCCCAUCAUCUCAUAUUUCAGGAAUGUCUCCUUUUUGAAAAUUGAUGGGUCGUCCUCCAGAUUCUUCUUCUUUUAAGAUUCUUGGUUAUACUUUGUUUGUGCUUCGUCCUCAUGUAUAACUUAGUAAGUUGUCUUCUCGUUCUGCCACACUUUGUGUUUUUCUCUGGAUAUGGUGAGGUCAAAAAGGAUAUCGUUGUUUUGAUCCUGUUACUACUUUUCAGAAAUUAAUAUGUGUCCCCGUCAUGUUGUGUUCCUUGAGCCUAUCCUUUCUUUCUUUCUCUAUUUCCUGAUAGUAACCUCAUAACUUGACUACAUCUGAUCUCAUUUCGCAUUGACCCUUUUUUUUGAGAUUUCAGAUAGAUAGUUACGUCCAUCCUCCCUCCCUACCAGACAUUGGUAUUUCCGCUUCUGAUGCUCCGAUCACAUCCGCGCAGCCCUCUACCUACACCAACACAUCUGAGAUUGUGGAUCCUCCUCAGCCUCUGCCUACCCAAGUAACUUCUGAGAUUGUUGAUCCUCUUCCCCUCGCUAUCCUAAGCGCAUUCCGUCAAGUCUACCUACUAAUUUGCUAGAUUUUCUUAUUUUUGUUAUCUGUUCUUUUGCUUCUUCGUAGCCACUUAUUCACAAUGUUUUUUUGAGCUCUAUCGUAUAAAGAGGUUUUCUUGAUCCCCUUUGGCAGCAGGCUAUGCCGAGAAACUUUCUGUUUGCAUAACAACUGGUCUUUGAGAUUUGGUACCUUUACCAAUCUUCCUUAAGAUAAAAUUGUUUCUCGGUGGGUCUACAAAAGCAAAACCAAGGCUGAUGGUUUCUAUUUGAGGGUCGAUACCCGCUCGUUGGGUAGCCAAAAAUUUUUUCCAACAGUUGGUAUGGAUUAUGAAUAGACUUUUGCCUCAAGUUUUACAAACAUGACUACUAUUCGUACUCUUAUUGUAGUUUUCAUCUAUUCGUCAGGGCAUAUUUCUCAAUGGAUGUUAAGAAUGCCUUCCGUGAAUGGCGAUCUUCAAGAAAAGUUUCUAUGACUCCCCCACCUGGUGUUGCCCACAAUUUUGAGAAGUUUGUUAAACUUAAAAAGCUUAUAUGGUCUCAAGCAUACACACCGUGCCAUGUCUUGGUGUGGCGUGAAAAUUCUCUAACUUUGAUUCCAUCCUUUUGGUUUUCGAUCCAGCAUCAUAUUCUGCUCUUUUUUAUAAAAGUCACUACUGUUCGGUCCGUAGCUUCUUUCAUUAUAUGUUGAUGACAGGGUGAUUAGCAGGUGAUGAUGUGGCUAGAAAUUGACCGAUUGAAAUUAGAAUUUUGGCUUCUCGAUUUGAAAUGAAGGAUUUGGGACCUCUACGUAUUUUUUUGACAUAGAAGUAGCCUUUUCACCUAAGGGUUAUCUACUUUUACAGUCUAAGUACAUUGCAAGACAUUCUUGAGCGUGCUCGUCUUACUGAUAUAAGACUGUCCAGACUCCUCUUUGAACUUAAUGUUCGGAUAUUCUCGCGACUGAUGGGUACUACCUUUCACCUGAUCCUUCUUUAUAUCGUACUAUUGUUGGAAGUUUGGUCUAUCUCACUAUUAUCUCUCCCAGACAUUGCAUAUAUGCUGUUUCAUAUUGUUAGUCAGUUUGUUACUAGUCUCCGAACUAUCAUUGUGCUUCUCAUUCGUAUUUUGAGGUACCUUACGUGUUAUCAAUUUCAAGUCUUUUACGUACUUUCCACUUUUAUCUUUACAAUGUGUGCAUAUUCUGAUGCUGAUUGGGCUAGUGAUCUUGGUUGAUCACAAAUCUAUCACUACUGGAUUCUGUUCUUUUUGGGUGAUUCUCUUAUUCUCUUAGAAGAGUAAGACAGCUGUUGUUUCAAAUCUUCAAACAGAAGCUGAGUAUCGUGCAUGAUGGCCUCUCCUACUCACAGAGAUAUUUGGUUCCGGUGGUUACUAAUGCUGACAUGGGUGUUUCUCUGUUCUUCUUCUCCCCUCUAUGUUUUGUGACAAUAAAGUGCUAUACAGAUUGCCCAUAUUCUGUUUUUCAUGAGCAACCAAGGCAUAUCGAGAAUUGCUUGUCAUCUUACUUGUCUCAUUUGCAGCAUGGCACUAUUAUUUUCCUUUUGUCUCUUCAUCUAUGCACUUGCUGAUUUAUUUACCAAAGUCACAUCCGCUUCGCGCUUGUGUUUUUUGGUUGGCAAACUCUCGAUACUUUUUACACUGUAUCGUGAGUUUGAGGGGGGCUGUUAGAUUAUAUUUUAGAUUAUAUUUAUGUUUUUAAUUUACUUGUUAUUAUCAGUAAUGGUAGAAUAGUAAUUUAAUUAACCUUUGUUAUUAGGGUAUUCAACUCUUUUUAUUUUUCUUGUAUCAUCAUCUAAAUUCCUAUGAAACCUAUGCCUCCUUUUUCUCUAGGUUCUUGUAUCUCACACAAUACCAUUAAAAAAUAAUUGGUAACUCCCUAUCAUGUUUGCUAAGUGUCCCCUCAAUCUAGGCUUAGGUGUCAAAGGACGUUUUGCCGUGCAAGUUAUCUUCUAUCUCGAUAUACCGCUGAGAUUACCGCCGACUAUUGCAUCUCGAUCGAGCUUGCUAUGAACGACAACCCGAUAAAAGUGUUUGUCCUACCUCGACCAAAGUUGUUGAUAUUUUAUCUCCUUGCAAAAAUCAUAUAAAGGUGGCAAGUUUGACAUAACUAAAGUUAUUUCUAAAUU